UUCGAAUUUAAUUUAAUUUUUUUAUAUUAUUUGUUCUUAUAGUAAUUUUUCUAAAUUUAAGCAUUUUGUGCAGUGAUUUUAAUUUAUUUAAUAUGUGGACUGAAAAUAGUUCUUGUUUUUCUCACUUGAAUUCACCUGAAGAAUGUUUUAAAUGAACAUUUUAAAUAAUUCUCUAUCACUUUGUAUAUGGUCUAAUUAAAUUAUGUUAAGUAAGAAAAGUAAAUUGGUUUAAGAUAUUUACUAUUAAUCAUAAAUUUAUCAAGAUACAGAAUAACAGCCUACUUCUACACCUAUUCUACAAAGUUACCUAUUAUGUUGAUUUUACUGGAAACAAGAGUUAGUUUUUUAUUUUAUAUUUUGCAUAUAUAGAUUAAAAUGACUUAUAUAUCUUAAUUCUAUGAUUUAAUUACUAUUUAAUAAUUUAUUAUAUUUAUAAAUAGUAAAUAACAUGACUUUAUUUAGUUUAAUCUUAUAAAUUAAAAUUUUAAUAUAUGCAAAUAAUAAUAAUAUUAACUGAAAACCAUGUUGCUAAUUUGUUCAAUUUACUUUCUAGUUUAACAAAAGAUUAUAGGAAAAGACCUAAAUACAGAAAAUUACUGGAAACUCCAUUUAUUAAGAAAUACGAAACACUCGAUGUCGACGUAGCAGCAUGGUUUGCCGUCGUCAUGGCUUCAACUCAAACGCCGAGACCAUCGAGGCACUUUAGGCAUUUCUGACAUUGCUCGAAAUAUAAACAUUGUGUUUGUAGAAAUGUUAAACUAUAUAAUGAUUUAUCAACUUGUUGGAGGAAUUCAUUAAUUAUCGAAGAGACCAUCAGAGCCGAAGAGGGAAGUUAUUUCUCCGAUAUUCUACUAAAAGUUAUGUUUAGGUUAUAGAAGUUAAUUUAAUUAACUUAUAUGUAUUGAUCAUGAAUUUCUAUAUUGCUGCCUUGAAAAUUCUGAUCUCUACAAAUAAAAUUAACUUCAUUUUAAAA